rnacentral:rRNA from 1 species
CCUACGGGAGGCUGCAGUGGGGAAUAUUGGACAAUGGGGGGAACCCUGAUCCAGCCAUGCCGCGUGUGUGAAGAAGGCCCUCGGGUUGUAAAGCACUUUCAGUGAGGAAGAACGCCUGGUGGUUAAUACCCAUCAGGAAAGACAUCACUCACAGAAGAAGCACCGGCUAACUCCGUGCCAGCAGCCGCGGUAAUACGGAGGGGUGCGAGCGUUAAUCGGAAUUACUGGGCGUAAAGCGCGCGUAGGUGGCUUGAUAAGCCGGUUGUGAAAGCCCCGGGCUCAACCUGGGAACGGCAUCCGGAACUGUCAAGCUAGGGUGCAGGAGAGGAAGGUAGAAUUCCCGGUGUAGCGGUGAAAAGCGGAGAGGUCGGGAGGAAUAACAGUGGCGAAGGCGGCCUUCUGGACUGACACUGACACUGAGGUGCGAAAGCGUGGGUAGCAAACAGGGUUAGAUACCCCAGUAGUC